GCCUCAGGACCUGGCUCCUGUGAUGGGAGGGGGGGAGAGAAACCUCCGCCGCGUCCAGGGGGCGUGUCUGGGCAGGGGCGGGGCUGACCCGAGACCUGGAGGAGGAAGAGGGGCAGGUGCAGCCGGGAGCUGCGGAGCUGGAGGGAGGAGGACGAGAGCCAGGCCCUCAGCCCGCUGUGACUCUCCUCAGCCUCCUCCCCCAGCCCGGGGUGGGGGCCGAUUGACUGUUUCCAGGCCCCCCCUCGGGUAGGGGGGCUGAAGAGCCCCCAGGUGGACCAUGGCGGUGAGAUUCCAGGUGGCUGACAUGGAGGAGCUGACCAUCUGGGAACAGCACACGGCCACGCUGUCCAAGGACCCCCGCCGGGGCUUUGGCAUUGCGAUCUCUGGAGGCCGAGACCGGCCCGGUGGAUCCAUGGUUGUGUCUGACGUGGUACCCGGAGGGCCGGCGGAGGGCAGGCUACAGACAGGCGACCACAUCGUCAUGGUGAACGGGGUUUCCAUGGAGAAUGCCACCUCCGCGUUUGCCAUUCAGAUACUCAAGACCUGCACCAAGAUGGCCAACAUCGUGAGUAGGCAGCCCCUGGCACGGCCGGCAUCUCUGACCCCAGCCUGGGUCGUGCCGCUGCGGGGGUUGUAAGCUGAGAGCAAGGAGUCAUCUUCUCAUCUUACAGUUUGGACAUUGAGGCCCAGAGAGAGACUGGUGUCCCCCAGGGCCACCC
rnacentral:sRNA from 1 species